rnacentral:rRNA from 1 species
UGGGGAAUAUUGCACAAUGGGCGCAAGCCUGAUGCAGCCAUGCCGCGUGUAUGAAGAAGGCCUUCGGGUUGUAAAGUACUUUCAGCGGGGAGGAAGGGAGUAAAGUUAAUACCUUUGCUCAUUGACGUUACCCGCAGAAGAAGCACCGGCUAACUCCGUGCCAGCAGCCGCGGUAAUACGGAGGGUGCAAGCGUUAAUCGGAAUUACUGGGCGUAAAGCGCACGCAGGCGGUUUGUUAAGUCAGAUGUGAAAUCCCCGGGCUCAACCUGGGAACUGCAUCUGAUACUGGCAAGCUUGAGUCUCGUAGAGGGGGGUAGAAUUCCAGGUGUAGCGGUGAAAUGCGUAGAGAUCUGGAGGAAUACCGGUGCCGAAGGCGGCCCCCUGGACGAAGACUGACGCUCAGGUGCGAAAGCGUGGGGAGCAAACAGG